rnacentral:rRNA from 1 species
AUUGAACGCUGGCGGCAUGCUUUACACAUGCAAGUCGAACGGUAACAGGCCGCAAGGUGCUGACGAGUGGCGAACGGGUGAGUAAUGCAUCGGAACGUGCCCAGUCGUGGGGGAUAACGCAGCGAAAGCUGCGCUAAUACCGCAUACGAUCUAUGGAUGAAAGCGGGGGACCGUAAGGCCUCGCGCGAUUGGAGCGGCCGAUGUCAGAUUAGGUAGUUGGUGGGGUAAAGGCUCACCAAGCCAACGAUCUGUAGCUGGUCUGAGAGGACGACCAGCCACACUGGGACUGAGACACGGCCCAGACUCCUACGGGAGGCAGCAGUGGGGAAUUUUGGACUAUGGGCGCAAGCCUGAUCCAGCAAUGCCGCGUGCAGGAAGAAGGCCUUCGGGUUGUAAACUGCUUUUGUACGGAGCGAAACGGUCCUGGUUAAUACCCGGGGCUAAUGACGGUACCGUAAGAAUAAGCACCGGCUAACUACGUGCCAGCAGCCGCCGUAAUAC